rnacentral:lncRNA from 1 species
AGCAAUACAGAAACUCAAAAAUUCUUUUGUAUGUAACUUGUGGAGUUGGGCUAGAGUGUAUAUUGGAGAGGAGUCCUUUUCUCUUAUAGGUUUUUUGGAGUGGUUAGCAUCCACUUAAGGGCUAGUGAGGUUUUUGUUUCUUUGCUUGCUCUUAGAGGUUUAGGCUACCUUGUAUACUUCCUGUAUGCUUUGUGGCUUUUUGCCUUUUGUUAAUAUAU